rnacentral:tRNA from 89 species
UGGGGUAUAGCCAAGCGGUAAGGCAACGGACUUUGACUCCGUGAUGCGUUGGUUCGAAUCCAGCUACCCCAGCCA